UCAGAUUGGUGUUGGAGUGGACAAUGCGGCGUCGUAGAUUGAUUGAGUUUUUGAACUCCGGCGUCGGAACGCCGCUGAUGCCUAAUCGAACCUUCGAAACCUAUGUGUUUUCUCUUUUUAAUGAGGAUUUGAAGUCGGGUACGUCGGAAAGAAUUUCGGGCUUUUCAGCCCGUUUAUGAUGUCGGAAUUCUGCAGUUUUAAUUCAUCCUAUGUUAUUUAAAUCAUAAAGUUUGGUCAAAUUUUAGAAUAUUAAAUUAUUUUAAUUUUUCACAUUGUCAAAUUUGUGAAUAAAUCAAUGUCUUUUGGAGAUGUUAAAACACGUUGUCAAUAAUCCUUAUUAAAGACUCGACACACAUUCAUAUCAUGAGAUGCGUCGCAUCAACACCGGAAGCUACGAAGAAAUGGUGUGUGCGAAGCAGUGGAUGCACAACUGUAAGCGAACAUUGACUUCGUGUGCGGCUUAGAUAGCCUCGACUGCGGGCCUAUUGAAGGUGGCGCGGUCUGCUUUGAGCCGGACACCGUUAGAUCACACGCGGCUUAUGCCAUGAAUGCUUAUUACCAAUCCAACGGCCGGGAUGAUGUUGCUUGUGACUUCGGUGCCACUGCUGCCCUCACUACUAAUGAUCCUAGUAUACAUACUGCUUCAAGUAAUCCAAUCAAAUUUUGGAUUCUCUAUUUUAUGAUACUAUUUCUUAGUGCCUAGUGGCUUUAUUUGGGCGUGAUUCAAGAUUGUAACUUGAAAGGUGGAUUACGUAUGUGGAACUUUAAAUGUAAACAGAUUUUAGAUUUAUGGAUGCUUCAUUGUUAUUCA